rnacentral:lncRNA from 1 species
CGUCAGAGCAUACGUCAUGGCUUGUUGCGAUCACGUGCCCACUUUGUUUACAAUCCUUCUCCCGGUGGACCGUUUCGU